rnacentral:rRNA from 1 species
CCUAACACAUGCAAGUCGAACGGAACUGUUUUGAAAGAUUUCUUCGGAAUGAAUUUGAUUUAGUUUAGUGGCGGACGGGUGAGUAACGCGUGAGUAACCUGCCUUCAAGAGGGGGAUAACAUUCUGAAAAGAAUGCUAAUACCGCAUGAUAUAUCGGAACCACAUGGUUUUGAUAUCAAAGAUUUUAUCGCUUGAAGAUGGACUCGCGUCCGAUUAGUUAGUUGGUGAGGUAACGGCUCACCAAGACCGCGAUCGGUAGCCGGACUGAGAGGUUGAACGGCCACAUUGGGACUGAGACACGGCCCAGACUCCUACGGGAGGCAGCAGUGGGGGAUAUUGCGCAAUGGGGGCAACCCUGACGCAGCAACGCCGCGUGAAGGAUGAAGGUUUUCGGAUUGUAAACUUCUUUUAUUAAGGACGAAAAACGACGGUACUUAAUGAAUAAGCUCCGGCUAACUACGUGCCAGCAGCCGCGGUAAUACGUAGGGAGCAAGCGUUGUCCGGAUUUACUGGGUGUAAAGGGUGCGUAGGCGGCUUUGCAAGUCAGAUGUGAAAUCUAUGGGCUCAACCCAUAAACUGCAUUUGAAACUGUAGAGCUUGAGUGAAGUAGAGGCAGGCGGAAUUCCCCGUGUAGCGGUGAAAUGCGUAGAGAUGGGGAGGAACACCAGUGGCGAAGGCGGCCUGCUGGGCUUUAACUGACGCUGAGGCACGA